AAGAUUUAUUUAUUUAUUUAUUUGACAGAGAGAGACAGCGAGAGGGGGACACAAGGAGGGGGAGUGGGAGAGGGAGAAACAGGCUUCCCGCGGAAAAGGGAGCCCCAUGCAGCGCUCGAUCCCAGCACCCUGCUUAACGACUUAGCCACCAAGGCGCCCCUCAGAACUCAAUUUUUAAAAGAAAGACAACCCAUUUUUUAAAAAAAUGGGCAUAGGAUUGGAUAUUUCACAAAUGACUAGUAGACACAUGAAAAGAUGCUCAACAUCACCAGCCAAUGGAAGAUGCAAAUUAAAACACAGUGAGAUAAUACUACAUACCCACUAGGAUGAAUUAAACCAAAAAAAUCUGACAAUACCAAGUAUUAUCAACAAUGUGUUCUUUAUUUUGACAGUGAUGUUUUCAUGAGUUUAUAUACAAGGCAAAAUUAAAGUGUACAUUUUUAAUGGAUAUAUCUUAUUGCAUGUAAAUUGUAUCUUAAUGAAAUUGACUUAAAGAUACACCUUUGGAAGAAUAACAAUUUAUUAUCCCAAUGGGCCAAGAUAUAAAGAUGCUUGGGUACUUACUAAAGUAGUAAGUGUAGCUGGGAUCAGACUUUAGUUCUCAACCCAGAUUGUUUUCCCUUCCAAUUAGAUCAUGGGGCUGAGCAUAGAAUGCAGAAUUGAAGGAAGGAAGAAGAAAGAAGGGGAACAAGUGUCCUAAGAAUGGAUCUGCUGUAAUCCAGACCCUUAGUCUUGUCCCAACCAGGGAUGUCAACACAUUUCCCCACGGGACUGAAGACAUGCCUUGCUGUUAACUUGAACAUUUUUCAUCUUUUAAAAUAGCUUCCUUACUUUUCUUUCUCUUCCCUAAUCAUGACAGAAUCACUUUGAAUGAUACAGACAUAUAUGGAAACAAAGUCCGGGUGACUUAUACUAUGUACCGUUAAGGGAUGUGAAUAAAGAACUCUGGACACAUCUCCACCUGCCACUUGAUGAGUGAGUGCUCCUUGGAACCUAUUUCAUGGAUUCCAAAAGAGACACAGCGAGAUAGGGAACACAAGCAGGGGGAGUGGGAGAGGGAGAAGCAGACUUCCCGCCCAGCAGGGAGCCCGAUGCGGGGCUCGAUCCCAGGACCUGGAAUCAUGACCCGAGCCGAAGGCAGACGCUUAACGACUGAGCCACCCAGGUGCCCCGCAUUUGUAAUUUUAAUAGAUACUGCCAAACUGUCCUACUUAGGGGACAUAUCGAUUUCUACUUCCAACAGAAACAAAUGAAUCAACAGUUUCCCCACAGCCUUGCCAACACACUGUGAUAUUAAACUUUUCAUUUUUGCCUAUAGAUGGGAGAAAUGGUGUUUUAGUGUAGUUUUAGUUUGCCUUUAAAAAAACGAGUGAGUGUGAGCAUUUUUCAAAUGUGUAAAGGCCAUUUGUUUUUCUUUUUCUGUUUUGACUGUUCAUACCCUUUGCACAUUUUAAAAUUGUUCUGCACUUUCCCUUAUCAAUUUACAGGUAGUGUAUAUGUUAUGGAAAUUAGCCCUUUUCCUGUUAUACGAGAUGCAAACAUUUCCCCAAGGUUGUCAUUUGUCUCUUGUUUAUGGUGUUUUAUUUCCUGCAGGUGUUUUUGAUUUUGACAUUAACUUGUCAUUUUCUUUCAUGCCAUCAGGACUUUAAGUCAUGUUAUAAAUGCCUUUCCCACUGAGAUGAUAUGAAUUUUCCCUUAUUUCUCCUAGAAGUCUGGUUCUUUGACUUCCCACAUUUAAAUCUUUGAGCCGUCUAGAAUUUAUCCUGGCACGUAUUAUGAGAUAAUGUUCCCCCUUUUUCCCAGAUGGCCACCAAUUUAUGCCAACAUCAUUUAUUAAAUUAUCCUUCUCUUCCCCACUGCUUUGAAAUGCCAUCUUUACGUGCUGAAGUCCUGUAUGCACCUGCCUCUAUCCUUGGGCUUUCUAUUCUCUCUGGUUGGUUUGCUGAUUGUUCAUGUGCCAGGACCCAUCUGUGCACAUACUAAGCAUAGCUGAAAAUCAAGCAGGGCUGGCUUUCCCUUGCAGAUCCUUCUUUCCAGAGAUCUCUUUCCUAUCAGCAUUUACUGAUUCUUUAAAUGUGGUUUUCAGUAAUUAAUAACAGCAACAAAAAAUGACAAACAACAAAAAUCCUUCCUGUUGGAUAUUUUUUCGUGAUCAUAUUAAGUUUAUAAGUUAACUUAGGAAAACUUGAUGAUUUUGAAUCUUACUCUCUAAAAAUAUAGUCAGUUCUAUUUUUGUUCCAUUCUACUCCUUUGUCCUGCAAGAACAGUUAAAGAUUUUUGUCAAAUUGGUUUUGUUAUGUUUCUUCCUAGGUAUUUUAUCCAUUUGUUGCCAAUGUGCAUGGAGCCUUUUCUUUCACUAUAUUUUCCAUUAGUACGUAUGGAGACUUUUGGUUUCUGUAUAUUAAUUUCACAGCUUGCUAGCUUAAUGUAUUUUCUUAUUUCUAGGGGUUUUUGUUUUUAAUUGAUUCUCUUGAUUUUCCAAAUAAUCAUAUAAUCUACAAAUAGGAAAGCCUUGCCUCCUCGUUUACAAUAUUUAUUCCUCCGGUUUCUUUUUCAUCUGGUUGCUUUAUUUUUAAAGAUUUAUUUAUUUUUGAGAGAGAGAGAGCUAGCACAGGGGUGAGGGGCAGAGGGAGAAGAAGAGAGAAUUUUCAUUCAGACUCCGUGCUGAGCCCAGGGCUUGACCUGGGGCUCAAUCUCAACACCUUGAGAUCACGUCCUAAGCCGAAGCCAAGAGUCGGCUGCCCCCACCAACUGUGCCACCCAGGCGCCCCAUAGCUUUAGAUAGUACCUCCAGAACAGUGAUAGUUAAUGGAAAUAGUACCAAACUGACCUUUUUCUGGCUUCAACAGGAGUUCCUAGUGUUUCCUCAAUAAGCCCAUGCAGCCUUUUGGUCUAAGACUGACAUCUUAAAAAAAAAAAAAUCAUGUUCAUCAGUUUCUCUUUCAUUAAGAAUCUUUUAAAAAUUCAGUACUGGAGAUUAAAUUGUGAUAGGUGAUUUUUCAGUAUCUAUGGAACUGGUUAUAUUUUCCCUGUAACUUACCAAAAUGAUGAAUCAUGUUAAUAAAUUUCACAUCGAAUUAGACUUGCAUUCCCAUACUAACUCCAAUUAGUCUUCAUACAUUCCAUCUACUAUAUUUUAUUCAGGAUUUUUGCAUCAAUAUUCAUAAGGUUGAUCUAUAAUUUUCUUUGUUUCUUAUAUAAAUUCAUCUUUUUAGAUUUUCCCUCUCUUCUGGAGUUAGAUUGGUAAAUUAUGUUUUUCUUUUUUUUUUUUAAGAUUUAUUUAUUUUAGAGAGAGAGAGCAUGAGUGGGAGGGGCAGAGUGAGAGGGAGAGAGAAUCUCGUACAGACUCUGCACUAAACAUGGAGCCCCAUGCAGAGCUGGAUCUCACAACCCUGAAAUCAUGACCUGAGCCAAAAUCAAGAGUCAGCCCUUAACCGACUGUGCUACCCAGGAACCCUGGUAAAUUAUGUUUUUCUAGACAUAGAUAAUCUCAUUCACAUUUUCAAAUGCAAUGGCAUGGAGCUCAGCAAAGGAGUCCUUUGGUCCUUUUAAUUUUCAGUUUCUGUUGUUAUUUCCCAUCAUCAUUUCUCCUGUUGUGUACUUUUGAUUUCUCUUUCCCUUGCCUAGAUUAGGCAGAAGUGUGUUUUCAGGGAGCCAGCUUUGAUUUUACUUAUUAGUUCUACUCUUUUUUUUGUUUUUGAAAUUACUGAUUUCAACUUUAGUUUCUAUUUUUAUUAUUCCUUUUCUACCUUCAUGAACAGUAUGCUGAAUACAUUUACUUUUAUUUUUGUUUAUUAAUAUAAUUGUAUAAAGACAUGAAUUUUCAUCUAAACACAGCUUUGGCUUAUCUCCAGUUCUGAAAGGUGGUAUUCACAUGCAUUUUUCACAUUAGCUAUUGUUAUUAUUUAUUGUAGAAGUCACUGGAGAUUAAGGAAAGAAGUAAGGUUGGGUCCCAGGAUGGAGCUAGGUUAGGUGGGCCUUGAGUGGUAGGUGGUAGGUGGCAGGCUUUAGACUUGAUGAAAAUGGUAUUAAGAAGCCAUUGGAGGGACACCUGGGUGGCUUAGUUGGUUAGGCAUCUGACUCUUGGUUUCCGCUCAGGUCAUGAUCUCAUGGGUUGUGGGAUCAAGCCCCAAGUUGGCCUCCAAGAUCAAUGGGGAUUCUGCUUGAGAUUCUCUUCCUCUGCCCCUCCCCCCACUCACACAUGCUCUCUCUCUCUCUCUAAAAUAAAUAAAUAAAUCUUUUUAUAAAAGCCAUUGGAGGUCUCUGGUUAGGAAAGUAACAAGAUGUAAGUGUUGUUUUGAAAAUAUGUGCAUCCACAUAUUAGUUAUCUUGUGUAGUACUUCAUCUUUUCCAAAACCAUUUUGGAUAGGAAAUGCCUUUUUUGACAAUAAUGGAAAAAAGAAGUCGUCUACUUCCUUCUGAACAGUGAUGUGCUCUGAUCACGUAAAUGAACGCCUUCCUGGAACCUCUCAUGAUUAUUUAUUUAUUUAUUUUAAAAAAGAUUUUAUUUAUUUGAGAGCAAGAGAGUGCAUGAGCGGGAGGCAGGGGCAGAGGGAGAAGCAGACUCUCUGCUGAGCACGGAGCUCAAUUUGGGGGCUCGAUUCUAGGACCCCGAGAUCAUGGCUUGAUCUCAAGUCAGAUGCUUAAUUGACUGAGCCACCUAGGCACCCCUUAUGAUUAUUUUAAAUGUCGUACACUUGGCUGAAAUCUUUUGUUACUGACUCUGGAGUUUCACAUAGGAAGCAUCUUUAAAUUUGAAGUAUAUCCUAAAAUUAAUUGGACCACAAGCAAUUAUUCAUUUCUACUAUAGCACUUGAUGUUAUUUCUCAUUUGGAAUGUAGCUUUGCCUUCAACACUGUCUUAUUUCUCUACUAGAUUGUGAAUUCCUUACAUAAGUACAGUAUGUUUUAAGUUCUAGGAGGUUAAUUUGUAUUUGUUAGUAAUUUAUUUUACUUAAAACUACUCAUAUAAUUAUAGAAUUCUCACAAUGUGCAUAUGCAUGAUUGAAAUACUCCAAAAUUAUUAUCUGCCUUGUCUGUAUAUUAUCCCUAAUCAUAUUCAACAUUUCCGGUUGUCUCAUUAUCCUAAAUAAUCUGUGCUUUAUCCUGCUUUCUAUUAUUAGAGCAACUAAAUUAGUAUGUGUUGUACCAUAUCCAUGAUCUCUUUUAUUUGAUUUUUGUGUCAAGGGCUAAUAAUUCCCACUCCUACUGAUUUUGUUGGGGAAGGCAAUAUGACCAUGAGAAACUAUUUUCUAGACUCCUCCAUGGGUAAGAGUAGCCAUGGAAAUAAUUUCUGGCUGCUGGGAUGUAGAUAGAAGUUACUGAGCAGAACGUUCCUGCCUGGAAUUUGGAGGUCAAGGCUGGAGGAGGAGGUUCUUGCAUACAGAAAUGAUGGAAGGCCACAAAGUGUGAAUAAGAUGAGCCACCUAAUUUGCAGAGGGCAGCACAAAAUGAAAGUGAGGGGCCCUUGUUCAACAGUUACUAAUAAUGAAAAAAUGCCAGCAGCAGAGCAUUAACCCUAGUGCUGGGCCCUUCUCGGCAUGGGGCCCAAUGAGACAGCACAGGUCCCAUGCCCAUGAAGCUGGCCCUGGUGUGAAGGAGCCUGGGGCCCUGGGAUGUCCUGGAGCUGCCAUGUCAGCCUGGACUGCUGUCUGCUCUUCCUCUAAUGGAGAGCACAACCCCCUUCUUCUUUAAGGGGGUUAUCUCAGUUUUCUGUUAUGUGCCUUCCACAACUAAUGUGUUGUGAUUACCCUCAUUUUACAGAUGAAGAAACUGAGGCUCAGACAAGUUUAGUACCUGGUUCUGGUAGGCCAUUUGGGGUGUGGACUCGGGCCCUGCGAAUUGGGUCAUGUACUCUUGGGUCAACACGGUGUCUUUCCUUUCCUACAGAGAUGGUAUCAUUGUACAUUUCCUUUUUCCAGCAAGACUUCGCACUCUGCAGGUUUGCUUGUCUCCCAGGGGCCCCUCUUUGUAGUCUAUUAAUAGGAGGAGGGCAGCACUUCAUCCCACUGAUUUUUCCUCCUUCACAUUUAAUUUGUACUCUGGAGUAGACAAGAUGCAGAAUCUCAGUCCGGAUUUAAAAUAUGGCCCCCAAAAAGUGAUUCACUUCCAUCUCUAGCAAAAUGUUUAUAGCUUAUUCCUCUCCCUUUGCAGAUAAAGAGUUAAGAUCUUACAUAAUUCAAUUAAAAAAGAAACUCAAAAUAUGUGAAAUCCCAUCUGAUGUGGGUUUCUGUCUGCUUGACCCUUCAAGAGGAAAGCAUGUACUGGCGGUCCUUCCAGUGAGAUCCCAAUCAGGAAAAUGCAGCUAGAACUUAUUCCUUUAAUGGUGCAUCAGGGUAAAUAAGUGUUUACUGCCCUUGGACAUUCUCAUCUAUGAUCAUGGGAAGCACUGUGGCCGCUAUGAAUUCUUUGAUUAGCACACAAGCUUUGGCUGCCACUUCACCUGCUUGGGGACCCCAUGUGACACAGGUGUUGUAUUUGCUAGACUCUGAGAUGAUUGCAGUUUGGCUGAGCUCUAACAUAAGCACCCAACCUUGGUUAACAUCCACAAGUCAACAUUCUGGACCACAUCAUGGGUGGUGUUGGGGUGGGGGUGGACACAGCAUGUCUUCACAGGUAAUUACAGUGCAUCAUGCGGGAGGCUGGCAAUGGCAUGUGGCAACCCACUUCUCUCCCUCUUUAUAGGAGGAGAGAAAAUUCUUUAUCUUCCCUAAGAGGAAGAAAUUCUAGUCUGUUCAGUCAGAUUCCAGGGCAGUGAAUGCUGGGUAUUUCCCAGUAGGCACAAUAACUGUACAUGCUUCCCCUCUUUCAUUUGGUAAGAGGGCCAGGGUCCCUAUUAAACUAGGCCCAGGAAGGUAAUGCAUGGAUGCUGGGGAGGCCCAGUGGCUCAGAGGCUAGAGAUCAGACCUGGAUUUAGGUUGAAGCCCCUACUUAGCCCUUGACUUCCAAACUGAUGUUACCAUACACCUUGCAAUGGGGUGUCAGGCAUACUUGUGAUUGUCCCAUUUGUGAUUGUGUGGCCCUCAGGAGGUCCAUGGAGGACAGGACUCUGGUGUUCCUGGGUCCUUCACUAGAGCAUAAUUUUUUUUUAAAAUUUAAAUUCAAUUAGCCAACAUAUAGUACAUUUUUAGUUUUAGAUGUAGUGUUCAAUGAUUCAUCAGUUGCGUAUAACACCCAGUGCUCAUCACAUCACGUGCCCUCCUUAGAGCAUCAUUUUAAUAUCCAAAUCUUACCAUAAGCUUGGGCCCUCUGGUUAUGGUGAAGUAUUAAAAAUUGUUGGUAUAAUGAAGGUCUCAUGAAGUACUAGUCUGUGAAACUUAGUGUAAGGAUUGAAUUGUGUCCUUUCCCACCCUCCAUUCAUUUGUUGAAGUCCUAACUCAUAGUAUGUCAGAAUGUGACUAUAAAGAGGUAAAAUGGAUCACUAGAACCCUAAUCCAGUAUGACUGGUGGUGUCCCUCAAGAAAGGGAACUUUGGGGAUAGAUAUACAUAGAGGGAAGACAAUGUAGAUACCCAGAGUGAUGGCUGUGUUUGAGCAAGGAGAGAAUCCUGGAACAGAUCCUUCCCUUGCAGCCCUCAUAAGGAACCAACCUGCUGAUACCUUGAUUUCAGUUCUAGCCUGUUCUAACCAUACAUUUCUAUACUUUAAGUUACUUGUUUGUGAUAUUUUGUUAUGGUAGCCCUAGCCAACUGAUGGGCUUGGCCAGCAGGCUGGGCAACCCUAAAAACCAUGGAUAGAUGUGGGAAGACCACUCUGCAAUAUUUGAAGUUGUCACCACACCUAUUCCUCCGCUGUUCAAAGACAGGAGCAUUAAUGACAUUUGCUUGACUGCAAGAAGCUCAUAAAUGUUUGCCAGCAACCAUACUACUUACCUGGAAUAGGUAGAUGACUUCAGUCUCACAUCUGCUUUUUUAAAAUAAGGAAAUUUAGGACAGGUUUUUUGUGAUCUGCAGUUUGGUCACACAGAGGUCAGGUCAGUGUGGUAAAGUGGAAUAGAUUGGAGGCUUCCAAGUCUUAUUUAUUGAUGAGAAUUCUGAUUCUCAAUAGGAAGUUGCUAUACUUGUUUUAGUCCUGAAAUACUUAAAACAGUGCUUGGCACACGGUAGAUGGUAAAAAUUAUAACUAUUACGAUUCGUGUCCAACUCUGGAAAAGGAUUGCUUUUUUGAAGUUAGCAGUCAGAGGGGAGUGUCUGCCCCUUGAAAUCUGUACACUUUUGGUGUGCUUAAUAAAAUAUUUCUAAUGACCUUUUGAGGUCUGAGCAUGUUGCCUUGAGCAAUCUGGGUUACAUUUUUAACUUUUUACCACAUUAUAAAUAAAUCUCCUUUGAAAAGAAUAACAGACCUUCACCAUCUGGUGGUUGGCCGAUGCAAAAAUAUUUCUUGAACAAAUCAAAAACACACAGUGUUUUAUGAAAGAGGUUGAUAAAAUAAGGAAAAUAGAAAUCUAGUAUCUCCAAGGUACUAGAUAAAUAUCUUAACCAUUGAGCAUUAAAGUUCCAAUAUAUGACAGAGAUUUUACCAUUAUGUUUGUGAAUAAGCAACCUGAGCAUCAUAAAAAUAUGGUUUGUAAAGGUACUGAAGAGUUUAAUUCACUAAACAGGAAAUAUUAUAUCACCCUGUAUUUGCAUACUAAAUUUUUUUACCAUCUUUUUUUUUUUUUUAAGAUUUUAUUUAUUUAUUUAUUUAUUUAUUUAUUUAUUUAUUUGAGAGAGAGAGUGAGAGAGCGAGAGAAACAGCAUGAGAGGAGAUAGGGUCAGAGGGAGAAGCAGACUCCCCACCGAGCCGGGAGCCCGAUGUGGGACUCGAUCCCAGGACUCUGGGAUCAUGACCUGAGCCGAAGGCAGUCGCUUAACCAACUGAGCCACCCAGGCGCCCUACCAUCUUUUUUUUUUUUUUAAGAUUUCAUUUAUUUAUUUGAGAGACACAGAGAGAGAGCACGAGAGGUGGGGGGAGGGGCAGAGGAAGAGGGAGAAGCAGACUCCCCGCUGAGCAGGGAGCCUGAUGCGGGGCUCCAUCUCUGGACCCUGGGAUCAUGACCUGAGCUGAAGGCAGAUGCUUACCUGACUGAGCCACCCAGGCACCCCCUGCAUUCUAAAUUUUCUGGCUUCUGAGUUACUAUUGAAAAAAUGGCUUCAAGUAGGUACUUUUUGUGGAUUUGCAAACCACUGGAGAACUGGAUUUGUCCUUUCUUUCUAAAGACAAGAUCCCAGACUGCCUAUUAAUCUAGAGUAAUGAAUAUAUAUUCAAUAAAUGUUGUUGAAUGAACCAACGUGUGAGUGCUUUUCUUGGGUUUCUAUAGAAUCAAGAGAGAGAAGGCAACAUAUUAGUAAAGAAUAAACAUUUUUACUUUGAAACAAAGAAGGCAAUUUAUUGUAGUGAGAUUACAUUAAAAUUCUAUAUAUGAUCCCCAGUGCAUAUAAAGUAAUUUCCUGCACACUGUUGGAGAAGACAUUACUGAGUCACAAAGAAACUCAAAGUGUUAUAAAUCAGUUAAUAUUGAUGUAUUGCAUUUUUAUUCAUCUAUCCAAAUUGAAAAUGAGAUGAUUUAAAGGACACAUUUAAGUAUUUUUCAUAAAUUUUAACGAUGGCUUUUGCAUUUCCUGGAGUUUGUAAUGCCUUUGAUAACUCAAAACACAGAAGUCUAUUCCUUGCAGUCUGUUCCUUUUUCUUACCAUGGUGAGUAGUUAUCACAAAGCUGCUUAGGGAGUAAACUUCUAAUAGAUUUAAAUGUUUUCCCCUAAAUGGAGUUUGUGGAAAAUAUGAAAAAUGGCAUGAUAUUGGAGGUAACAAAAAAAUAGAAGAAAAAUUGUUUUUGAACACUAACCAAUAGAAAAGUGCCCCAGGAGGCAGAGAACAGCAGUGCCGUUGACCACAAGUUCACAGACAAAUAUACACAUACCCAUGUAGACAUCUUUGCACUUAACACCUUAUCUUCAGUACAUCUUAUACACUUGCUACAUGUUGCACAAGUUCAGGCACACAGACACCACCUGAGUGCGCUUGCAUAGCUAGCCCCACUGAGGAGGGCUCUACACAGCUUCUCUAAAGGAGCUUAUUCUUGACUUUUUUGAAAACAGAGUCUAAAGCAGUUCUUCGUACAGUCAUGUAUUUACAGAGAUACCACAAGCCAUGUCAUGGUGUCUGGUCUGCCUUCCUAAAUGUAGGAUUCUUUAGCAUACUGGAAUUGGUCAGCCUCAAAGACCGGCUGACUACAUCGCCGCACUAAGUGGUCCAGCUUAGUCUUCUGAUUUGACUCAGAUAUAGUUCUUAGCCGGUACAGCUCUGGUCUCCCUGUGACAGUCACUUGUCCUAUCGUUUCAACAGAAGCAUGGACAGUCCUGCUCUGUUUCCAACUCUCAGUCCUGGGAGAUAGUCUGUGCCUAUCAAGUGGCUCUUGACUGCAUAUAUCUUUUGAAUUCCCUCCAUGGUGAAAAGGUAGGAGAGGUGGUAGUUGAGUGUCCCGGCGGAGCAUUCUAGCCCUCAUGCUGCCAACUGUUUGGCCCCCGUGGGCCGAGAGGUCCAAUGCCUGGCACCGAAUGGCCUCUUCAUAAGAUGGCGGACUCCCAGGGCUUCUCUGAUCCACUUGCUGGACCACAUCCUCGACUGAGAGGGCAUAGGAUCUGGAGCUAAAGUCUAGAGCUGUUUGGCCCUGGAUUUCAGACAAGUUCUCUUGGAUGAUUCGCCCAGCAAGCUGGCUUUCUUUUUUAAAGCCUUUCUUUACUUGGUCUCUUGUAAAGCCUUUGGAUUUCACAGACACAGAGCUGGGGGUUUUGGUCAACACUCUUUUGUGAGAGGCAAAAGAGAAUGACAUGGAAUGUUUUUUAAUCUCUCUGUUGGGUUUACUUUUCUCUGCCUUUGUGAAAGACUGAUGUCUGGUGAAGAAAUUUCUUUUGGGACUGGAAGGAGAAGCCACGGGGGAGCUGUCAGAGGAAGCAUCCAGAGAGCCACUGGAGGAGGCUUUGGGCGCCAGUCCCCACAGUAACCCCAAACCCUGAGUCGAGUUCCUCACCUUCAGGUCCUGUGGCCUCUGAGUUUUGCCUUCAACUGCAGGAAACACCUCCUCUGGAAAUGGGUCUUCAGCUUCCUCACCUUCCAAACAAGCCCCUGCCUGGGCCAUGGUGAAGUCAUCCUCACUUCGUGUUAGUUUUUGGUGAGUUUUCUGGCUCUCAAGGCUCUCCUGUGAGGAUGACAUGCUGGGCUCUGAGUAGCUCCUGUCUGGUUCCCUGAGGGAGUUUUUCAGCCUGGCUACAGUGCUGACAAUGGGCUCUGGGCUCAACUCCCAAGCGAGCUGCAGGCCUCUGGGCUCCCAGCUGGCAGCUGUCUCCAAGGGCACCUGGGGCCGCCUGUUUGGGGAUCUGAUGGCACCGCUGGAUUCCAUGUCAGGAUCAUUGCUGUCAUAGGCUGAGUCAUUCUGCAGCGUUGACAUGUCUGGAGGAAGUUAAGGGACAGUUGAGUUUCUGGGUCAGUUUCUUGGAGAAAUAAACUUUAGUACCAUUCACCCUACUUGUAUCAAGUAUGGCACUAGGUAAUCUGGUGAAGCUACUGGGGCCUUGAUACGAGAGAAAUCUGUCACAUUAAAAUUUUGUUUCUUUCCUAGUUUGAGGUGCAGAAGAGAAGUAGGAAAAGGAAAUACAAGUGAGAGAAUGAGAAUGAGAAAAGAGACAAAACAACAUUUCAUUGAACAUUUGUUGAUCUUAAAUUUAAAAAUUAAUCCUUUGGAUGGCUCUUUGAUUGGAUCCAUUCCAUUUUAAUGGACCCAUAUCCUAUUAUGUGGAAACAACCCUCCAGCUAAAGAAUUACUUGCUGUACCUGCAAAUGCCUGCAUUUCUGUGGAGGAUGCACAUGUUUUAAAUUUGCCUCUGAGAUCUUUAUGAUAAUAAUUCAUCUCUGCAUUGGAAGACAAAUACAGCCUCAGCGUAAAAUCAUGUUCGAAGAACACUCUGUGUUUUCAGAAA